AGAGUUUGAUCCUGGCUCAGGAUGAACGCUAGCGACAGGCCUAACACAUGCAAGUCGAGGGGCAACAUGGUAUCAGCUUGCUGAUACUGAUGGCGACCGGCGCACGGGUGAGUAACGCGUAUGUAAUCUACCUGUAACAGAGGGAUAACCCGGAGAAAUCCGGACUAAUACCUCAUAGCACAUAUUAUUCGCAUGAAUUUAUUGUUAAAGUAAGACUCGGUUACAGAUGAACAUG
rnacentral:rRNA from 1 species